ACUCAAAUGAAUUGACGGGGGCUCACACAAGCGGUGGAGCAUGUUGCUUAAUUCGAAGCAACGCGAAGAACCUUAUCCUGGGCUUGACAUGCACGGAUUAGUUCGGUGAAAGCCGAAUCACGCCCGCAAGGGUGGAACGUGCACAGGUGCUGCAUGGCUGUCGUCAGCUCGUGCUGUGAAGUGUCGGGUUAAGUCCCUCAACGAGCGCAACCCCUAUUGCUAGUUGCCAGCGCGUCAUGGCGGGAACUCUAGCGAGACUGCCGGUGUCAAACCGGAGGAAGGUGGGGAUGACGUCAAGUCCUCAUGGCCUUUAUGCCCAGGGCUGCAAACGUGCUACAAUGGCGUGCACAAAGCGAUGCGAGGCCGCGAGGCGGAGCAAAUCGCAAAAAACACGCCCCAGUUCGGAUAGCAGGCUGCAAUUCGCCUGCUUGAAGCCGGAAUCGCUAGUAAUCGCGGAUCAGCUACGCCGCGGUGAAUACGUUCCUGAGCCUUGUACACACCGCCCGU
rnacentral:rRNA from 1 species